rnacentral:rRNA from 1 species
UACGUAGGGGGCAAGCGUUGUCCGGAAUUAUUGGGCGUAAAGAGCGUGUAGGCGGUUCGAUAAGUUUGCUGUAAAAGUCGGGGGCUCAACCCCCGAAAGCCGGUGAAUACUGUCGGACUAGAGUACGGAAGAGGCGAGAGGAAUUCCUGGUGUAGCGGUGAAAUGCGCAGAUAUCAGGAGGAACACCAAUUGCGAAGGCAGCUCGCUGGGACGUAACUGACGCUGAGACGCGAAAGCGUGGGGAGCAAACAGG